rnacentral:rRNA from 1 species
AUACGGAGGAUCCGAGCGUUAUCCGGAUUUAUUGGGCUUAAAGGGUACGCAGGCGGCCAUUUAAGUCAGCGGUUAAUGCGUGGGGCUCAACCCCAUUCUGCCGUUGAUACUGGGUGGAUUGAUUGCGGCCGAGGUUGACGGAAUUCGUUGUGUAGCGGCGAAAUGCAUAGAUAUGACGAAGAACACCGAUUGCGUAGGCAGCUGACCAGACCGCAAAUGACGCUCAUGCACGAAAGUGCGGGGAUCGAACAGGAUUAGAUACCCUGGUAGUCCGCACAGUAAACGAUGAAUACUUGUUUUCGGCGAUAUAAUGUCGGAGGCAAAGCGAAAGCGAUAAGUAUUCCACCUGGGGAGUACGCCGGCAACGGUGAAACUCAAAGGAAUUGACGG